AUGCUAUUCUCGUGCUAGUGAGUAAGUCUCAUGAGAGCUAAUGGGUUUAUCACGGGUUUCUGCCUUUGCUUCUUCCUCAUUUUCUCGUUUCUGCCAUGUAAGAAGUGUCUUUCACCUCUCGCCAUGAUUCUGAGGCCUCCUCAUCCAUGUGGAUCUGCUCGUAGGCUAAAGGAACUUGGCUUGUCUCAGAUGAGACUUUGGGCUGUGGACUUUUAGGUUAAUGCUGAAAUGAGUUAAGACUUUGGCGGACUGUUGAGAAGACAUGAUUGGUUUUGAAAUGUGAGGCCAUGAAAUAUGGAGGAGCCAGGUUGAAAUGAUAUGGAUUGGCUGAGUCCCCACCCAAAUUUCAACUUGAAUUUUAUCUCCCAGAAUUCCCAUGUGUUGUGGGAGGGACACAGGAGGAGAACCUGCACUGGAAAGAUACUAAAGCAAGCUCUUCAAGGAAAGUAAAAAUAGUCAACGGGAGUACAAGAGAAAUACAGGAAUAAACCUUGGCGUAUUUUCCCGAGCAUUAAUGGGUUGACAGUGAAGAUGAAUCACCUGUCUCUAACAUUCUACUAUCAAAACCUGAGAUCAGAAGUUCCAUGUAAAAAUAUAUCAGCUGGCCGCGGUGGCUCACGCCUAUAAUCCCAGCACUUUGGGAAGCUGAGGCAGGCAGAUCACUUGAGGUCAGGAGUUCAAGACCAGCCAGACAUUAUCCUUACACAUAGGUGAAAAAGUAAGGUAAAAAAUUAGUAAGAAAAUUGUCACUGGUUUAUACAAAGUUAGUAUUGGUGAGAUAAGACUUAAGACCUCCCUAUUUUCCCUUAUUUCACUGAUAAUGGAAUAGCUGAUUGCUACCUAUAACCAAAUUGUGUCCUUGUUAUAUCAGUAAGUGUAAUAUUUUGUGUGUAUUUUUCAUAUAAAUAUGUUCAUCUUCUUAAUUCAUUUCACACAGGUAUUACACUAGACUAUAAACACAAUAUUAGAGAGUCAUUUGAAAGUUUGCAUAGAAGAAUCAAGAUCAAAAUGCAGAAGUACUGAUUCCUUGCAAAGAAAUCAUUUUGUCCUCUCCCAAAAUAGGAGAAUGUAAAGUAAAAUAGAAAUAAGCUGAAAGAGUUAAUUAUUACUUGGAUUAAGUGCCUGAGAUACUCCAAAUUAUCUCAUAUGUUGUGAUAAUAUAUCUCUACACCUAUAACUUAUCUCCACCCUCUGAUUCCAUAGUUAUGCCUGAAUUGCUCCAAAGAACAUUACAGUUUAUGUCAGUACCAGAAGACUUCCAAAUGUAAUUUGGCAAAAGAAGAUAGAACAUUUUCAUUCAGGAAAUUGUUCUUCUUAAUUGCUGUCUCAUUUUAUGUGUAAUAUCUUCUUCUGAAGAAAUAAUAGGCAUUCCUUUAUAGGAACAUGCAAACCAUCAAGGCUUAUGAAGUCCCAAGUUUUUGAAUUUCCUGAAGAUGAUAAAGUAAAAGUUAUUUCUUGUUACAUGUAGUUUUGAAUAUAUUUAUAUUACAAAUCUGUUUCAAGGCUUUAAAAAAAUAUUUUAGCACUAAAUUAAAAUGUGUUAAGUAGAGAAUGGAUUUUAUCCUUAUUAAAUGGGGACUGUACCAUUUCGAGAUAAGAGACCAGAGAUGUUGAUAUUUUAACUACUGGGAACUUAUUACAGUAACUAGUAGCAUGGAAGGUAAGUAUCUAACUAAUAAAACAGAGCGUAGUGGAAACAUAUGAACUCUGAGUUUGACUGGUUUUUGUUUGUUUGUUUGUUUUGUUUUGUUUCGUUUUUGAGACCGAGUUCAGUGGCGCGAUCUUGGCUUACUGUAACCUCUGCCUCCCAGGUUCAAGCGAUUCUCCUGCCUCAGCCUCCAGAGUAGCUGGGAUUAACCUGCCUCAGCCUCCCAAAGUGCUGAAAUUACAGGCAUGAGCCACCACGCCUGGCUGAGUUUUGACACUUCAGCACUAAAACAGAAGUUGUACAAAUAUAAAUGAAUCUUGCCAAGGAUGGAGAGAAUUGCAACAAGCAAACAUACAGAAAACUAAGUUAUUUUUCUGUUGGGAGCAAGCCCCCCAAAAUCCGGCCAUAAACUGGCCCCAAGACUGGCCAUAAACAAAAUCUCUGCAGCACUGUAACAUGUUCAUAAUGGCCCUAACGCCCAAGCUGGUAAGUUGUGGGUUUACGGGAAUGAGGGCAAGGAACACCUGGCCCGUCCAUGGCGGAAAACCACUUAAACGCAUUCUUAAGCCAUAAACAAUGGCAUGAAUGAUCUGUGUCUUAAGUGCAUGUUCCUGCUGCAGUUAACCAGCCUAACCUAUUCCUUUAAUUCAGCCCAUCCCUUCAUUUCCCUUAAGGGAUACUUUUAGUUAAUUUAAUAUCUAUAGACACAAUUAUAACGACUGGUUUGCUGUUAACAAACAUGUGGGUAAAUCUCUGUUUGUGGCUCUCAGCUCUGAAGGCUGUGAGACCCCUGAUUUCCCACUUCACACCUCUAUAUUUCUGUGUGUGUCUUUAAUUCCUCUAGCGCUGCUGGAUUAGGGUCUCCCCAACCAAGCUGGUCUGAGCAUUUUUCACCCGACCGAGCUGGUCUCAGCAUUUUUCACAUUUAUUUGGUAUGUCGCUUUAUUUUCUUUCAUUUCCUUGCCAGUCACUGCUAACUUUGAUCUCAACGUACUUGAUUCAGAUUUUACACUUUCAUAUUGCUCAAAUUUGGUGACUCUAUUAUUCCUCUAGCAGUUUCCCCAGAUCAGCACAUAGACACAACCCUUACCAUUCACCAUCACCACAUACAUCACACAUGUUAUCAGGCUGGAGUAUUAUCUUCCAUUUUGCUAUUUGCAUAUUAUGACACAAACCAGACACUACCUCAAUUAUUGGGUCAUGAAUUUUUUUCCAAUAUAAGAAGCACAUUAAAAGAAAACAUAAAAACUCCUUCAAAUGAAUAAUUGACAAAACUCUACACUCUUAACCUGUCAGGAGAUAAAAAGCCGAGAUAUCGCUUUGAAAGGCACUCUGGAAGUUCUAUCCCUAAGGUGACUGAGAUUUUUAUCACAAGUAAAAAAAUAUGAACUCAUAUACGCCAGAAUUUUUCAGAUGAAAUAUAAAUAUUUCAAGAAUUAACUUAUAUCGGUUAACUAGAGUUAACAAAGUUUAUAAGGCAAAGAUGAAAAUCAUUACUUUUAAUCUGAGCGUGGCCCCAUAGCAAGCAGAAUCAAAGUUGUAAUGGUAAGGAAUAAGGAAUAAGGAAUUUUUAAUAGUUUUGUCUAUUCUGAAAGUAUAGGUAGUCUAUGGAAUCAAUAGCUUGGAGGCUGACACCAUUGAGCAAUUAUGAACAUCACGACUCUCUACUCUUCAUCCUCUGACACACACCACUCCAUGGGAAAUUAGAGUGGCACUUCAUUACUGCCAGGUUGGUGAGGUAACCUAAGUUUUCCCUCUUGUUUCCACUGGCAUUGCAACGGGGAAAUGCUUGUAAGCAACCAGUGAAGAUGAAAACUCUGGAUCUCUUUUUGGCCUCCUCUGACAUCAGAGUUGGGUGCCUUGGUAUAGCCUGGUAAGGGCGGAAGUCCAGGCUCACCACCUGGCUUUUGCCAGCACGAAUGGAGGUAGUCUCACAGUUUCUGCUGUGGAGUUUUGCUAGAGUAGACCUGUUAUUGUCCAGAAGAUUUUCUGUCUUGCUAGACUGCUCCUUCUCUAGAUAGAGUGGAUUUUGUUGAGACUUUAUUUUGCCUGUGCCUAUUGGUAUUUUUAUGUUGCUGACUUCUUCUGUUCCAAGACUGGGUUAUAUGAGAACAAAAGGAAACCCAGGGAUCUUACCUUCCUGUCCUUCUUCAGGCUGCAAGGUCCCUGGCUGGUCUGCCUGCUUUUCUUCAUCUCUCAAAGUCCUCUUAAACUUGUUUCAUAUGUAAUUUGCAGGGGUUUUAAUUGUUCCUAGUGGGAAGAAUAGUGAAAAGUACAUACUUCAACUUCUCAGAAGUUGAAAUUCCCUGCAGUCGUUUUAACUUUCUUAGAACUAAAAAGUGCUUAUUUGUGUAUCAGCCAAAUGGAAAAUAUAUUAUUUCCUCCCUGAAGUUAUUAUUUCUACUAUCCUUGUUCUACUAGCACAGAAAAAAUUUAUAUUAAAAAAUAAAAACUCUAUGUUAUAUUGACAUAAUUUCUCUAUGUAUCUACUUGGAUUAAUUAGUAUUAUAGAAACAUAUGUGGUAACAAAAGUCUAGCUUUUUUUUUUUUUUCCAUUCACUGGCUUAAUACUUACUUACUUUAAGUUUUCACUACUUAUUCCCAGGGAUAUUCAAAGGGGAAGUUUUAUAAAUGUUAAUAGGAUUAAGACCUUCUGAUGCAUUGCUCUUAUAAUACAUUUUAAAACAGAAGAAACUGCAUCAUUUUUCUCCUACAUAGAUCAACAACUAUAUUCUUGGUGUUGGAUUAGUUAAUUACUAUCAAAGUAAUUACUUUCAAUGGCAAAAACAUCAAUUACGUUUGCACCAACCUAUAGUUACACUGCGAAAAGUGACUAUGGUAUAUCAUGAUGGGGUAUUCUAGAGUUCAGGAAAUCUGUUUCCUCAUCUGGAGUCUCAUUGCAUAUGGUUGUUUAAUAUUAUAUGUAAAUAUUCAUAAAAAUGUGCAUUUAUGUUUUUGCACCACUUUUUUGUAAAGGUUAGACUUCAUUAAAGGAAUUACCAGAUUAUAAUGAAGGUGUAUCCCUGGGGAGCAGAUGUGUGAUGGGCUUAAAUGACAACCAGCUAAAAGAGAAUGAGAUAAAAAAAUGUGAAUUGUUUUCAAGUGAAAAAAGCUAAGAAAUGGUUAACUAAAGUUUAUAAAACCUAAUGUCAUGUAAGAAAUGCACUGUAGUCUUAUGUUUCUGUACAGCUCAGCUUUGCUAUUUAUAUAACCAUCAUAAUAUAAAUGCAGAACAUUGCUUGAAUAAAAUGAUAACACUAAAAUGGGAAUAUUAGAAGAGAAGUUCAGUGUGAACGUAGUUACAAAAGGCAAGAAAUUCCCAUUUUUUAAAAUAAGAAUGUAAUACAUAAUUUCUAAAACUGAAAAAUAAAAAAAUAGGUAUAUGCUGUGGAGGAAAGUUCUCAAAAAGAAUUAAGUGUAUUAAAAAUGAACUGAGAGAGACUAUAAUACCACGAAAGUGCAUAAUAGUGAAG
rnacentral:lncRNA from 10 species